rnacentral:rRNA from 1 species
GACGAACGCUGGCGGCGUGCCUAAUACAUGCAAGUCGAGCGAAUCUGAUGGGAGCUUGCUCCUUGAUGAUUAGCGGCGGACGGGUGAGUAACACGUGGGUAACCUGCCUGUAAGACUGGGAUAACUCCGGGAAACCGGGGCUAAUACCGGAUAACUUUUUUCUUCGCAUGAGGGAGAAUUGAAAGAUGGCUUCGGCUAUCACUUACAGAUGGACCCGCGGCGCAUUAUCUAGUUGGUGAGGUAACGGCUCACCAAGGCGACGAUGCGUAGCCGACUUGAGAGGGUGAUCGGCCACACUGGGACUGAGACACGGCCCAGACUCCUACGGGAGGCAGCAGUAGGGAAUCUUCCGCAAUGGACGAAAGUCUGACGGAGCAACGCCGCGUGAGUGAUGAAGGUUUUCGGAUCGUAAAACUCUGUUGUUAGGGAAGAACAAGUAUCGUUCGAAUAGGGCGGUACCUUGACGGUACCUAACCAGAAAGCCACGGCUAACUACGUG